GGAGGUAUAAGCCUAAUGGUAAGGCAGUAGUUUGCUAAACUAUGAGUAGUCGGUAUUUUAUAUUGAUGUGCAGGUUCAAGUCCUGUUGCCUCCGCCA
rnacentral:tRNA from 1 species